rnacentral:snRNA from 1 species
UGAAUCGAUUUGCCCUGAUCAAC